rnacentral:rRNA from 1 species
UAAUUCGAUGAUACGCGAGGAACCUUACCCGGGCUUGAACUGCAGAGGAAGGAUCUAGAGAUAGUGACGCCCUUCGGGGCCUCUGUGGAGGUGCUGCAUGGUGUCGUCAGCUCGUGCCGUGAGGUGUCGGCUUAAGUGCCAUAACGAGCGCAACCCUUUUCGCCAGUUGCCAUCAGGUGAUGCUGGGCACUCUGGGGAUACUGCCACCGUAAGGUGUGAGGAAGGUGGGGAUGACGUCAAAUCAGCACGGCCCUUACGUCCGGGGCUACACACGUGUUACAAUGGCGCAUACAGCGAGUUGGUCUUUGGCAACAGAGGUCUAAUCAAUAAAAUGCGUCGUAGUUCGGAUUGGGGUCUGCAACCCGACCCCAUGAAGCUGGAUUCGCUAGUAAUCGCGCAUCAGCCAUGGCGCGGUGAAUACGUUCCCGGGCCUUGUACACACCGCCCGUCAAGCCAUGAAAGCCGGGGGCACCUGAAGUCUGUGACCGCGAGGGGCGGCCUAAGGUGAAACUGGUAAUGGGGCUAAGUCGUAACGAAGGUAACCUA